GAUGAAGAACGUAGCAAAAUGCGAUAAGUAGUGUGAAUUGCAGAAUUCAGUGAAUCAUCGAAUCUUUGAACGCACAUUGCGCCCCUUGGUAUUCCAUGGGGCAUGCCUGUUCGAGCGUCAUUUGUACCUUCAAGCUUUGCUUGGUGUUGGGUGUUUGUCCUGAGGGACUCGCCUUAAAGUAAUUGGCAGCCAGUGUUUGGUUUUGAAGCGCAGCACAAGUCGCGAUUCAAGGCUAUACACCAGCUUCCACAAGCCUUUUUCACUUUUGACCUCGGAUCAGGUAGGGAUACCCGCUGAACUUAAGCAUAUCAAUAAGCGGAGGA
rnacentral:misc_RNA from 1 species